rnacentral:rRNA from 1 species
CAAAGGAAUUGACGGGGCCCGCACAAGCGUGGAGUAUGUGGUUAAUUCGAUGCAACGCGAAGAACCUUACCUGGUCUUGACAUCCCGGAGACCCUUAGGAAACUAGGGGGUGCUUCCAUCUGGAAGAAUCUGGAGACAGGUGCUGCAUGGCUGUCGUCAGCUCGUGUCGUGAGAUGUUGGGUUAAGUCCCGCAACGAGCGCAACCCUUGCCUUUAGUUGCCAGCAGUUCGGCUGGGCACUCUAAAGGGACUGCCGGUGUUAAACCGGAGGAAGGUGGGGAUGACGUCAAGUCCUCAUGGCCUUUAUGACCAGGGCUACACACGUACUACAAUGGCCGAUACAAAGGGCAGCGACACUGCGAGGUGAAGCCAAUCCCGUAAAAUCGGUCUCAGUCCGGAUUGGAGUCUGCAACUCGACUCCAUGAAGUUGGAAUCGCUAGUAAUCGUGGAUCAGCAUGCCACGGUGAAUACGUUCCCGGGCCUU